rnacentral:rRNA from 1 species
AUUUCUUUGUUUCUGGAAAAGAAUAAGUUGGUCUCUGAUUCAACCCUUAUAUAGGUUAAAUAAAGGAAAGAUUUAGGAAAUUGAAUUGACUUCCAAUCCUAGUGAGAAGAGGGAAAGAGGAAAAAUAUGUGCCAGCAUCUGCGGUCAUACAUAUUCUUUUCCAACUUAAUCCAACUAAGUAAACCUAAUUAUUUUAGAAUAAAGAAGAAAAAAUUUGGGUAAAAUCAUUAAUUUUUGGUUGUUCCUUAAUUUUUAGUUAGAGUUUAUCAAACUUUUUUUAAAAACCAGGAUUAGAUACCCUGUUAUUGUAAAGAAAUAAAAAAUUGGAGAGUAGGGUUGAACUGAAAACUAUCCAGAAUGGCGGUUUUUUUUUUUGUUCAGAAAGAUGUGUUUUUAAAACGAAAUUGCACGAAAAUCUUUCUUGUUUUUGAAUAUCCAUCCUGUUCACCGCCGUCUGAAGGGUAAAGAAAAAAAUUUAAUCCUAUUCCUUUAUUCGGGAAUAAGUCAGGUAAGGUGCAGAUUAUAAACAAGACUAAAUGCAUUUCACUAGGAAUGAUCAAGGUUAGGUUUGAAAAAUCUUACCCAAGAAGAAUUUGAAAGUAAAGGUUUUUUAUUAAAAAGCCUUGAAUUAAAUACAAAAAAAAUGUACAAAUCGCCCGUCAACCCAAUGAAGGGUAAGUCGUAACAAAGUUGUUCUACUGGAAAGUGGAGCAGGAUU